rnacentral:rRNA from 1 species
CCUACGGGUGGCAGCAGUGAGGAAUAUUGGUCAAUGGACGAGAGUCUGAACCAGCCAAGUAGCGUGAAGGAUGACUGCCCUAUGGGUUGUAAACUUCUUUUAUCUGGGAAUAAAAUGUUCCACGUGUGGGAUUUUGUAUGUACCAUAUGAAUAAGGAUCGGCUAACUCCGUGCCAGCAGCCGCGGUAAUACGGAGGAUCCGAGCGUUAUCCGGAUUUAUUGGGUUUAAAGGGAGCGUAGGGCGAGUGUUAAGUUAGUUGUGAAAGUUUGCGGCUCAACCGUACAAUUGCAGUUGAAACUGGCAGUCUUGAGUGCAGUAGAGGUAGGCGGAAUUCGUGGUGUAGCGGUGAAAUGCUUAGAUAUCACGAAGAACUCCGAUUGCGAAGGCAGCCCACUGGAGUGCAACUGACGCUGAGGCUCGAAAGUGUGGGUAUCGAACAGGAUUAGAUACCCGAGUAGUC